UACGGAGGGUGCAAGCGUUAUCCGGAUUCACUGGGUUUAAAGGGUGCGUAGGUGGGCAGUUAAGUCAGUGGUGAAAUCUCCGGCUCAACCCGGAAACUGCCAUUGAUACUAUCUGUCUUGAAUAUCGUGGAGGUAAGCGGAAUAUGUCAUGUAGCGGUGAAAUGCUUAGAUAUGACAUAGAACACCAAUUGCGAAGGCAGCUUACUACCCGAAUAUUGACACUGAGGCACGAAAGCGUGGGAUCAAACAGG
rnacentral:rRNA from 1 species